GUUAAUAUAAAUAAAUAUUUAAUAUAAAUUUUUAAUUUAAUUUUUAAUCUAAUUUUUAAUUUUUUAUAAACAGACUUCGCUUCACGCAACUGCAACAGACAUCGAUCAAAUAUGUGUGUGUGUGUACGCGCGCGCACGCACAUCCCAUUAAAAAAGAUAAAUUAUAAAUAAAUUUGUUAUAUGCUGUCCCAAAGCCUCGUAAAACACGCCAGUGAAUAAAUUAUCUUUUCGCGACGAGAGAGAGAGAUGAAAACCUGUUUCGCUGCAUCUUCCUGUCAUUUUGCUACUUGACUACUCCGCGUUCUCACGCUAAGCCUGGACCAAUGAUCAUCUGCUGUGCUUUCAGUGGAGAAGAAACGAGAUGCCGAAAAGAGGGGUAGCAAAUCUAAAAAGCAAAAUUCUGCAUAGCAGAUGUACGCGUGCGGUAACUCGCGAGCUGGUUUCGCGUAUUUCAAGAGACGAAAAUCUGGGUCUGUCGGUCAGUAUCGGGGAGGCUGCGGUCCACGCAGCAUCCCUCUUGCUCGUAAAAGAGUUUUUCUCCCGGCUGACAACUCUGCAAAAUUUACGAUCGUCCACAUCCCUUCGAAUCGUAAAACAUCUUUCCAAUGUUUCAAACUCUUCGUCAAAUCAAAAUGACGACACGUCAAGCAUCAAGUUUGUCAUGGAUCAAGUUUUUCUCGUCUGAUUCCUACCAAAUAUGGUACAACGCGACUGGCGAACAGAGGAGGUCGGAUAAUAGCGACGGGAGGAACCGGAAAGCAUAAACCCACGCAAAAGUGGAGGCCACUUGAAGCAUUUUCUGCGGCGCGGUCGCAACCCUUCUGAAAAUUAUCCAGCACGACCUCGCGAUUGUCCCAACCUUACUGUUUUCGCAAUAAUGGGAUGUGAGCGACGCAAAAUUAUAUUUUUCUAUAACAAUAUCAUAAUAGACGCCCACUUUUGGACAUUUUUUUUAUCGAACCAAAUCAACGCAUUACCAUUAAAUUAAAAAUAAUUCCAGGAUCAACUGUGGAAUAUACCGAAAAAUGUAGAAUCUAUAUCAGAGGUGUCAAAAAUCAUUCGUUUCGUUACAUUGUAUUAUAGAAAUCAUUCGAUGAAAACUGUCAAUGAAUGAACCGAUAUUUAUUCACGUUGAUACAAAACAGAAAUUUCAAUACAUUUCGUAUAUCAUUAUCACAUCUACAUGAAAAGUAAUUACUUGCAAUUACAUACAAAAAAUGCCUGAAAAUAUUAAUAUCACUAUGCAAAUUUGAAAAACAAACAUUUUUUGUUAUUUUCAAAUAUUAAAUCUUAUAUGUGAAAUCGUUAGCCGAUCAUAGUAGAAUAUUGCAGAAAUACAAAUUGCCAAAAAUUCGGUAACACUUUAAUUUGGAAAAAUAUUGAAAUUUUAUGGAGGAAAAUCUGUUUAAAUUUCUAAUAAUGAUGUCUUUUUCAACGUAUAAUAAUCGCGCGCAUGUAUAUGUAUGUAUAUGUAUAUAUACAUAUGCACACGCGAUAUACGCAUAUACCUGAUGUUUAUAUAUAGGUAUAUAUGAGAAAAAUACUUUUAGUUUGGCGACUUUAAUGAUACUCAACCACGUUUAACAAGAAAAAAUUUUUGCCAGCUGAGAAACUUUUAACUUAAUUUCCUUACCAGCUUUUAUCUCUCUUGCAGUGGAAAACUUUAAUGAGCGCAACGAGAACGCGCGCUAAAAGAAAUUUUCAUUAUUUUAAAAUAAUUGCACGUAUAUGCAUUGUGCGAAGAAAUAGACGAUAUUAUUGCUUAUUCUGCUAUUAUUAUUUCCAUUCUAUAUUUCAUUAUUUUAUUCUUAACUUGUAACUAUAAAUAUCAUUGUGAUGGAGAAAACUACGACACAUUCUUUUCUUUAUAUUUCUCCAAUAAUUUGCCUUAUAUUCAAUACAAGUAUUUGUGAUUAUAAUUUCGGAUUUUGUCGUUUGUCAUAAUUUAUUCGCAAUAAUCGAUAAAAAUAAUAAUAAACAAAACAGUUAUUUAGACAUGAUUCUCCAUCGCAAGGUGAUAACAUGUUCCAUAAUUGCAUUUUACAAGCACGUUUGAAUUACUCCAUUUUUCAAGUGUACAUUAUGUUAAUUAAAAAGUUAUGAGCGUGCAACUUGAGGCACUCUGCCACGCCUCUAUGCAACAACCUUAACUUCCAGCACUACUUGUAUGAACCCUUUAAAUCCCUUGCUACACCCUCCUCCUUUUCCCCUCCUUUCACAUUCAGAGUUGGCCAAAGUUCAAACCCUUUCAAUGGACAGAACUUUUUCCGUUCCAAAAACUCGAUUGCGUACAGUCGUUGAAAAAAGCAUAGAAAUUUUACUAACGGAAAAAUUUUAUCCUUAUAUUAACGCGCAUUUGAUUAUCGCAUUUUUCAAAUGCAGAUAUUCUCAAGAUAUACGCGCAAAGUGAAAAUUAUUACGACUAUCGCAUUUAUUUCAUCAAAUUAUCAAGAUGUCUAAACGAGAUUUCACAUACGAGAUAUAAUAUAAUAAACAUAUGUAAAUCCAAAUUAAGAUAUGCAUAUUACAAAUCAAUGUUACUGUUCACGUAACAGCUCAAAUUAUUAGCUUCCUUAAUAUGUAAAAUAUCUGAAAUUUCUCACGAUUUAAUCAUUGUAUUUGCGCUUGCCUUGCUUGAAUGUUUUAUUUAAUUUGACUAUUUUGUUGUAGUUUAGAUCCAUGAAAUUACCAGAGAAUCCAAAAUGUGUCAAAGUUAUUAAUGUUGAAAAACGUGCUAAUUUGUCUUCUUAACGAAAGAGAAAAACUUGUGUGUACAUGUAUUUUUGUUUGCGGAUGUAUGCGCGCGUGUGUGCGUGUGUAUGUGUGCGUGUGUGUACGUAUGCGUGUGCGUUGCGCACCUAAUCGCGUAUCUCAAAAUUCUCUUCGCAUCAACAUACAUAUAUUCAAAUUAACACGAGACGUGCAAGCGAGCACGCGAAGGACUCGGAGCCUUAAUCUGUUUUAGCGAGGGCGUAAAAACGUCAGUAAAAAACUGGCAGACGGCAAGAGGGCAGAGGGCAAAAGGAGUCACGCGUUUUUUCCAAGACGGGAGGAAGAAACGGCCUCGGGCUCCCAAUUAGUGUUCUCAGCCCCUAUACUCGCAUCUCAACGGCCACGAGGCAAACGCCGCCCGGGGUUCACGAUGGCGUUGAGAUGCAAGAGAACGAGAUAAACCGCGCGAUAAAAUGGUAUGCCCUCACAUUACCUACGCACAUGCACACGCGCGCGCGCACACACUCUCUCUCUCUCUCUCUCUCCAUCUCACUCUCUCACAAUUACCCAUUUCUUUUUUAUUCACUUUAGCUUCACACAUGUGCAUGCGACCGAGCGAUGAAGAAACAGCGGGGAGGAAAAAAUCUUGAUAAAAAAAUUACUUAAUUCGUAAAAAAAUUUGAUCGAAACGACGUAUAACGGUAUAACUUACGAUUAUUUUUUAAUUACUUUCUUUUCUCCUAUUAAGUUGCUCUUUCCAAACAAAUUUAAAUAUAACCAGAUACAUUACGUUUCUUUGUCUCUAUAUUUGAUUUAUUUUUUCAAUCCAUUUAAAGCUUGAAAAUUUUAUUACUAGAGUUUGUAGAGCAAUAGCAACACUUUACCUAUAAUUAAAAGAAAGAUAGCAGAAAUCAAUUGUACAAAACAUUUGAAAUUUACAAAUAGAUAGCACUGUGUAAUAUCUACUUUAUAUAUAAAAAUUAAUAUGAGAAUUUGUCAAGUUAACGCUAAGGCGUCGUAAAUAGGGCUUUUUAAUUUUUUUUUCAACAGAGUUCAUGUCAUAAACAUUCAUGUCUAUGAUGUAAUGUUAGAAACGCUGCCAUAAUAUGAAUGAAAAUCUUGAAAAAUUCAUGCUAGAUAAAAUAUAAAUACUAAAAGGAAAAGAGAACAUAUUUAUAUUUCAUUUCUCAAUCUGUUAUAUUCAUGGUGAAUAAAAGAAUCGCAGCAACAUUUAUAUAGAAAUUUAUUAUCGGAAUUUGGAAUUCGGUGAAGAUGUACCACCAAAAUGCUGUCCAACAUGUAUCUAUUUAAGUUUAUUAUUUAAAUGAAUAUGCAUGUCAAAACGUCAACGAAACAAUCUUUAAAGUACUCUCGAUUUUACCAGAAAAUAUCACAUUUACGGCGCUAAUAAAAAAAUUUCGCCAACAUACGAAAUACAAAAAGGUAUAAUUUACAUUUCCUUGCGGAAAGAGCAAAAAUUCGCAAAGACGAAGGGUUGAGAGUCGUCGGACAUGGGUAGCUCGCUAUUUUCAAGCCUUUACGAGAAAUUCACGCCAGCGAGGAGGUAACGCGAAGGAAUUGUCUUGAACAUCGGUGCAGCGCGCGAGUAUGAUACGGUCAAACGCUUUCCAUGCGACUUUACCAGAGAGACACCUCUUUUCUCACCUAUUUUUUUUUCCUUUUACGCCAGUGACCGUUAAACACAUGCGGCUGAGAAACGCACGACAGUCGGUGGCGCGGCGACUGCCAUGCGCUAAUUAUUUAAUUAUUUAUUUACCAGCUUCAUUUCACCGGAUUAUACCCACGGCCGACCAAGUUUCAUUCUUCAUCGCGGCCUAUUAACACACGCUCCACCUUCGCGGCUCCUGCAGACGACUAAUUGUUUACAAAGCGGUUUCCUACUGUUCGGUACUUGCGUACAAAUCAGCCUGUACGCAUUUUAAACGAAUUUAAUUUACAUUUCUUUGGCUUCGAGGAUUGCGCUGUUUACGCGAUGUUUAUGCGAUGGAAUAUAUAUUAUUGCUUUUAAGAAUUUUUUAUCAUUGCUAAUCACUGCCUUUGUCAAAUACAAUUACAAAUACAAUUACUAUCAAUUUUUGUAAUAUCUGCGAUUGUGUAUGUACGUGCGUGCGUGUGUGUAUGCAUUUGUAAUUGAUAUUCUGUAAAAUUAUCUUUGGGAAAUGGUUACGAAAUAUCUCAACAAAUUUAUAAAAACAAUUGUACAAUCUUCAUGAAAAAUAUACAGAAAGUAUGAUGGAAUUUUUAAUCCGAACAAACUCGAACUGGCACUUCUUUAAUGCAAAAUUCUACCAAGAAUAUUUUAUACGACAAAAUAUAAUAAAAGCACACGAUAUACAAGUAUUACAUCCGUGUCACAUAUCAGGCAAAACUCUAUGUAGGAAUAUAUUUAAUGUACAUCGCCUUUGAAUUUCUCUUCAGUGCAUGUAAACAGAUGAGAAUUGUUCAACAAGCUUCAUAAAUAAUGUUGUAUAUGCAUGCAUAUUAUUUAGCAAGAAUGUGUGUGUGUGUGCCAGAUUUUCAAACGUUACAAGUUUUAAUGAAAUGCGAUUAGAAAUUCUUCGGCAUAUUGAUUUUAGAACAGCAAUUUUAAUAUUUUUCAAUUUGUCUAUAUAAACGAUCGUAUACAUGGAAUUUAACAUGUGAAACAUCAUUAUAAAAUAAUUGAACAAGUCGAAAUAAAGUAUCAGAAAACAAUUGUCAUUUGUACGAAGUGAUAUUUUAAAUAGACAUAUGCCAUUUGAUAAUUAUACGUUUUGUUAUAAUUUACCGUAAUAAUACAAUACUCCUAAUAAUAUAAAUUAUUUCACGUUUUACUUGUGCCAUCAAAUACGUGUGUAACAAGUACUUAUUUAUUUAUAAAUCACAAACCUAUUUUGUAAUAUAAUACAUUUCACACCCGUCGUGUACUAAUAAAAAUCAAUAAUACAUCAUUGUUUUAAAAAUAUUGUGCAUCAACUACUGAUUGAGUUAUUAUCUCUUACGGACUAAUCUACAUAUCAAAGUUGAACACGAAAUUCAGUUAUUCAAAUCAAAUUUAAAUUGUGUUUUCUGCAACUAUUUCUUUCAAAUAUGAAUAAUUAAUGUCAAACAGAGAUGCGCGUGCUCUGUUUAUUAAAAUAUUUAUGUAAUUUAUAAUUAUUUGCAUUUACUACUGUAUGAAUACGAUACAUGGUAAUACAAUUCUGAAAUCACAGGAUUUUAAAAUAAUACAUUUACGAACGAAUGUACACAUUUGUUUUCAAUAAACGAAUUUUUUUCACGGCUAAAA
rnacentral:lncRNA from 1 species